UUCAUACCGCGAGGACGUCCCUCAGAUAUCCAUACAAGACGCUUAGAACCUCCAAUUGUGUGAAGUUCUUUAACGACUUUUGUCCACUCCGGACGAGUAAAAGGAUUGAAUGACGUAAAUGGGAUUGAUUCCCUGGCACAUCUGUGGAAAGUAUUCGAAAUGGUACGGAUAUACUCGCCCAGAAUCGUGACGAGCCCUGUGAUGUAGCAGAGGAAAUUCAAAAUACCCAUGCUUCGUCUCCACUUGUAACAAUUCGAUUAAUUUAAUUUCCAUCGAUGUUUGACCAGAUCACAGUGAUGAAUAAUUAUUCUUUACGACAACUGUUGUAAAAAUGGCGGGAAAUUUCCUAGAGGCGGAUCUAAUCAAAAAUUGGAUGGUGUAAGACAAAAUUUGAUGCCUUUAGUAACCGGCACCGUCAUCCUGGAUAAACUUUACUAAUUUGAGCUCUAUAAUACAGAUGCACACACUUUUAAGAAUAUCAAAGUUGACAAAAUAUUGCAUAACGUACGUUAUACCUAUAUAUGUACAG